AGCGAACGCUGGCGGCAGGCUUAACACAUGCAAGUCGAGCGGGCACUUUCGGGUGUCAGCGGCGGACGGGUGAGUAACGCGUGGGAACGUGCCCUCUAGUUCGGAAUAACUCAGGGAAACUUGAGCUAAUACCGGAUACGCCCUUUUGGGGAAAGGCUUGCUGCCGGAGGAUCGGCCCGCGUCUGAUUAGCUAGUUGGUGAGGUAACGGCUCACCAAGGCGACGAUCAGUAGCUGGUCUGAGAGGAUGAUCAGCCACACUGGGACUGAGACGCGGCCCAGACUCCUACGGGAGGCAGCAGUGGGGAAUAUUGGACAAUGGGCGCAAGCCUGAUCCAGCCAUGCCGCGUGAGUGAUGAAGGCCUUAGGGUUGUAAAGCUCUUUUAUCCGGGACGAUAAUGACGGUACCGGAGGAAUAAGCCCCGGCUAACUUCGUG
rnacentral:rRNA from 1 species